rnacentral:rRNA from 1 species
UUCGUGCCAGCCCCGCGGUAAUACGAAGGGACCUAGCGUAAUUCGGAAUUACUGGGCGUAAAGCGCGCGUAGGCCGUUGAGUUAGUUAAUUGUGAAAUCCCAAAGCUUAACUUUGGAACUGCAAUUAAAACUGCUCAACUAAAGUUUGAUAUAGGAAAGCGGAAUACAUAUUGUAGAGGUGAAAUUCGUAGAUAUUAUGUAAAACACCAGUUGCGAAGGCGGCUUUCUGGAUCAACACUGACGCUAAGGCGCGAAAGUAUGGGUAGCAAAGAGGAUUAGAUACCCUCGUAGUCCAUACCAUAAACGAUGAUUGCUAGAUGUUGGAUAUUUAUUUU